UAAGGAAUAUUGGUCAAUGGACGCAAGUCUGAACCAGCCAUGCCGCGUGAAGGAUGAAGGUCCUCUGGAUUGUAAACUUCUUUUAUCUGGGACGAAAACGGGAUUUUUAUCUCAAUUGACGGUACCAGAGGCAUAAGCACCGGCUAACUACGUGCCAGCAGCCGCGGUAAUACGUAGGGUGCGAGCGUUAAUCGGAAUUACUGGGCGUAAAGCGUGCGCAGGCGGAUUGUUAAGCAAGACGUGAAAUCCCCGGGCUUAACCUGGGAAUGGCGUUUUGGACUGGCAGUCUAGAGUGCGUCAGAGGGCGGUGGAAUUCCACGUGUAGCAGUGAGAUGCGUAGGGAUGUGGAGGAACACCGAUGGCGAAGGCAGCCCCCUGGGAUGACACUGACGCUCAUGUACGAAAGCGUGGGUAGCAAACA
rnacentral:rRNA from 1 species